AUGCACUGGUUGUUUACAUUGAAGGAGACACUCGAACAUGACAUGUUUCUGCUGCUAUCGGUCACAUUGUGGGUCAUCUGGUAUGCUAGGAGGAAAGCAAUACAUGAAGGGAUUUUCCAGAGUCCACAAUCUACUCAAGCAUUCAUACGCAGAUUCAUCGAUGAUCUACAGCUAGUAGCAGAUCAGCAAAAACCUGUAGCAAAUCGGGCAAAUAUACCUCCUACAUCUUCCCGGCCAAGAGCCAAGGCUCCACCACAGGGUUAUGCCAAGAUCCAUGUGGACGCUGCUUUCAGGCAUGAGCGAGGUGGAGCUACAGCUGCGGUAUACAGGGAUGACAGAGGAAAUUAUCUGGGUAGCUCGGCGUUGGUCGUUUAUGGCGUGAGUAACCCAACCACGCUGGAGGCAGUAACAUGCAGGGAGGCGUUAGCCCUUGCGGAGGAUCUAAACCUGACGAACUGUGUCAUCUCCGGCGACUGUAAGCAAGUGGUGUCCGACAUCUCUAAAGGAACCCUAGGGGCUCAUGGGGCAAUCAUUGCCGAGAUCAGGGCAAAAGCAUCUUUAUUUAAUUAUGUGUUCAUUUUCGAGGGACGCGCUGUUAAUUAUGAAGCACAUGGAUUAGCUCGUUUUUCUCUUUUUCAGGGUUUGGGCCGCCACGUCUGGUUUGGCACCCCUCGUGACCCCCGUUGUAUCCCACAUCAUGUGGAUUUUGGUGAUGAAUAA
rnacentral:rRNA from 1 species